AUACGUAGGGUGCGAGCGUUGUCCGGAAUUACUGGGCGUAAAGAGCUCGUAGGUGGUUUGUCGCGUCGUCUGUGAAAUUCCGGGGCUUAACUCCGGGCGUGCAGGCGAUACGGGCAUAACUUGAGUACUGUAGGGGAGACUGGAAUUCCUGGUGUAGCGGUGAACUGCGCAGAUAUCAGGAGGAACACCGGUGGCGAAGGGGGGUCUCUGGGAAGUAACUGACGCUGAGGAGCGAAAGCAUGGGUAGCGAACAGGAUUAGAUUCCCUGGUAGUCCAUGCCGUAAACGGUGGGCGCUAGGUGUAGGGGUCUUCCACGACUUCUGUGCCGUAGCUAACGCAUUAAGCGCCCCGCCUGGGGAGUACGGCCGCAAGGCUAAAACUUAAAGGAAUUGACGGGG
rnacentral:rRNA from 1 species